GGAGGGGUGCCGGAUGUACGCUAAUUCGCGCUUGGCUGCGCGUCGUUCCUGCGUCGUGUUGGCCGGGAUGUGUUGGUGUGGACCGAGCCGUGACUCUGCGCCGAGGCAGGCCGGGCCGGGCUGCUACUAGGCGGAGUUCCGCGGUGGUCUGUGUGUGUCGGGAGACGCCGAGAUGUGUCAGAGUCAGAGUGGUAUACGAGGAGGAGGGUUCGUUUUGCUGCUCCUCGUGGCUGCUGCUCUCCUCUUCUGACAGGAAUUCGUUGUUUUAUCUGUUUUUAUUUUUGUUUUUGUUUUGUUUUUGAGGUAAAAUCCACGGGAGGCAUGGGGCGAGUGGCCUGGCAGGGUCCGCAGCCCCCAUCUCUCUGCCACCAGCUUCUCUCUUUCAUUAAUAACCUUCACAGGAGAUUUAUUCAUGCCCAGGAAUCCUUUGUAGCUUCUAAGCUGACUCCUUCAAGGCGGAAUAUGUUUUUGCAUCCCUUGAACCCUUGUUUUUGAAUCCCUUGCUCCCAUCUUGGGUGCUGCUGGGAUUCUCAGGAUUUGGCUUCAGCUGUAGUUGCUUUGUGCCAUUGAUAAUGAGCGUAGAAGGAAAACUGUAGUGAGCCCAAAGGUGAGCUUUUGCAUUUAGAUGUUCUGCUCCUUAGAAAUAGUUCAAAGGAACUAAAACUAUCAGUACUGAAGUCUUAUGUGAAACCAAAUGGGAAGGAUACAGAGCACAGUUCCUGUUAGCACCUGUGGUCUGAGUUAAAUCUGCAGGGGAGGGAAAGUGAAAGUGUUGGUCCUUUCAUCUUAGUUCUUGCUCUGUAGAGAAAACUACUUUUUCCUUUUUUGUUCAGUGAUAGGAAAGGGAAGAGGAAAGGAGAGGUGAGCACAGCUCUGCAAGAGCUGUCCCUAACAUUGCAUUGCAAACCUGAGCAAGGUGCCAUAUAAACAAAAGCUGCCCAGAAGCCUGGUUUGCCACAGUCCUUUUUUCUUCUGACUGGGAAUUAAUUCUAUGCUUUUUCUGCUUGGAUGUGGAUUUUGAGUUUUGUUCUGUAUUCAGAUUUUGGCAUAAAAGUGCUCUGGUUUCCGGAAAAGCAAUACAAAUGGGAGAUUACUCCACUGACUGUUCAUGUCAGGUGUAGCUUCUGACUGCAUACAAAUCCCUGUAAAACCAGUUCGUGUGUACGUAUUCUAGUCACAAAGGGCUUUCUUUUCAUAAUAGACAGUUGUCCUCUGCACUGAGGCAGCACGUUACAGUAAGUGCUGGAAAGCUUCCAAAGUUGCAAGUAGUAAUUAAAGUCACACCCUGUCAUAAAACUAUGCACCCUGCGGGCCUAUUUUAAAAAUUCAGGCUACAGAAAUGAGAUCAGCUCUUUAAUCUAAUGUGAACAGCUCUCUACUUACGACCUUUUCAAUACAUUCUAAUAAUUUUCUAAUUGGCCUUGAUAAAACUCUCUUUGAGAAGAGACAUUAAUUGUUUUUCUCUUUGGUUUUGGUUUUAUUCCGUGUUUGAGGAAUAUGAAAAGACUAUUAAGUGUUUCUAAAUGAUAUUUCAUUUUGGGUAUGAUGAUGUUUUGGUAUCCUGAAGCCUGAGCCAUGACUAGGACUACUUUGUGCUCGGCACUGCUGAAAAAUGCUCUGAUUUUGGUGGUGUUCACGUGGCACAGAUAAAUAUGUCCUUUAACUGAGCUGUGAAAACACAUGGUGGUGCUCAAUCCUAACAUUAAUAAGUGCAAAGUGUUAAAGGAAUUUAACUAAGACCAUAUAAUUGCAACUCAGAGCCCAAACAGCAGCAUCUUUGUACUGAAAAGUUUGUUUUGUGGUGGUACUCUUUGGUUUUACACUGUGGUAAAUUCUAGCAGAGCAAGGAAGAAGGGAAAGAAGUGCAGAAAUCUUAAAGCAAAUGUCCACUCUCUGGCAUCCCAAUGUACCCUAUGUCUGGGAUGCUCUAGGGUGAAACAAAGGAAAUUCUAAAGCUUCUAAGCAGGCAGUAACAGCAGUGAUGUCUGAGAGCGUCCAGCUCCUCAGGUCUAUGCUGUCCAAGUGUUUCCAGCCUCAGGCAGAUUUGUGCACAAAUCUCUGCAUUCCUGACCCCUUAAAUGUAAUGCAACAGACAGCAUGGUUUACUGGACACUGCCAUCACUGUGCCCCAGGAACAACAACAUGUGAAUGUGAGCUCUGAUUCUGAGUCACUGUGUGACUAUGGGCAAAACAGUGACAGUUUCCAGUGUUCAAUAAUGCAGUGUGCUUCAGUAGCUGGCAGCUCAGCUGGAGACAUAGAAACGUCUCUGGUUUGAAACGGAACACAUUUUCAAGUUAUCACUAAUACAGUGAGUCUCUGUCUUGGCUUCAUUAUCAGUAAGGUGGAAGUUGGACUAAUAUUUGUAUAGCUUCCUCACAUGAGUUUUUUCCAAAUUAUUUACUUAGUGUUGGCACUGUGAGAUGUUAUAAAUACUAGAGGUUUGUACCCAUCUACUAUGUGCUGCUCUGAUUUCUGAAUGUGACCAUUAUUCUUCUCCCACUAUUUAGCCCAAAUAUUUUUAUUUUAUUUACUUAAAUUAUUUGUAUUCUAGAUUAUGCCCACUGACAAGGGAUCUGGGGAGAGAACUGUGAUUCUUUUAUUCACUGAACAAAAACUGAUUCAUCACUUUCCUUACAUCACCUCUCAGCUCUCUAGCUUCUCAACACAGAGAUUGGUAUGGUUUUUCUUUAGAAGCAGCACAGAAAACAGGCAGUAGAAUUUUACAGAUCCUGCACCAUUGCCCCUGACUUCAGUUAGCAUUGAAUCGAAACCACAAAGAACAGAAGUGACGCUUUUUUUUCCCCCCAUGUACAGCAGGAGAAUACAAGUGCUCCAUAGAGAUGAAGCUGAGAUUCUUAUGCCUUAUGUAACAGCUGGUGGUUCGUACUCCUUGUGAUAAGAUGUGGUGUGGUGGUACCAAGAAGUGUUAGUGAAUAAUAGCAGCAAAGUAGUGAGUAGGCUGAGCCAGGCAGGAUAACGGGAUGGCUGGAGUCUGAUGAAGCCACUGUUUUCCCUUGUUCUCUGAUAGCUUUAAACUAAAAGCUUAAAAAAAACAAACAACAACAAAACUUAUUUUUAAAGCAUCAUUAAAAUCUGAAGCUUGCAGAAACUUUUAUCGAUAAGCUGAGCUCCUCUUUGCUGCCUGAGCAAAGGCUUCUGUUUGGGAAACCUCAGUCAGUUGUGCUGUUUGGUCUCCAGUCUGCUGGUGUCUGUGCUGACAAAUAGGAGAGAAGUCAGGUGUGAUGUUAACACCAAUUAACACCAGAUAGAACCAUCGGAGCAUAUAGCAGCACCGAGCCCUGCCACACUGCUGACACAGGCACGUUCAAACUACAGUUUUCUUCUGGUGUUUUGAAAACCCCUGUGUAUGCAGAGAGGGGUCAUUUUGCAAAGCAUGGUGUGGACAGACACCCCUAUAUUAGUAUCUAUUCUUCAUGGAACAAAAUAUGUUGGCUGAGCGCUUUUAAUACAUGUUGAUGAAUGCUUGGGUUCUCAUUAGAGGUGGAAGGAAAGAAGCAAUUACUGAGUUGGUUUGCCCAGCCCCUGCGGAUGACAGGAUUUUCUAGUUCAGCUUAUUCCUUCAUUCCUCACCACAGCAAAGUUUCUCACGUCUGAGACAAGAGUGGCUUUGUAAUUUUUUCCAGGUAUGAAGGUCAAAAGCAUUACAGCUCUUGGGCUACAGCCGUUGCUUACCACUUUGGAGAGCGUGCUGGGGCCUGGCCAUGCAAUCUUUAUGUGAGCAGGAGAUGUUGGACCGCAUCCAGAGAAGGACCACAAAAAUGAUCCACAGAUUGGAACACUUCUCCUAAGAGGGCAGGCUGAGAGAGCUGGGGCACUUCAGCCUGGAGAAGAGAAGGCUCUGAGGUGAUGAGAUAGCGGCCUUUCAGUAUCUGAAGGGGAGCUACGGGAAAGAAGGGGGCAGACUUCUUUAGCGGGGUCUGCGGUGAUAGAACAAGGGGAAAUGGCUUCAAGCUCAAAGAGGGUAGAUUUAGGUUAGAUAUAAGGAAAAGAUCUUUUACAGUGAGGGUGGUGAGGCGCUGGCACAGGUCGUCCAGUGAUGUGGUCGAUGCCCCGUCCCUGAAGACUUUAAGGAUGAGGCUGCAUAAGGGCCUGGGCAACCUGAUGGAGCUGUGGUGUCCCUCUGCAGUGCAGGGCAGUUGGACUAGAUGGCCCUCAGAGGUCCCUUCCAACUUCUGUGUUUAAGGGAUGAGAUAUGGGUGCAGGCAGGGAGCCACCUCUACAGCUGCCGCCUGCUGAAAAAGGACAGUGUUAAGUCCCGUAUUUUCGGGUUGAAUCACAGCAAAGGUGAUUACAGAAUCUCCACCCGCUGAGUCUGAGUCAAC
rnacentral:lncRNA from 1 species